UACGUAGGUGGCAAGCGUUGUCCGGAUUUACUGGGCGUAAAGAGCGCGCAGGCGGUCGGAUAAGUCGAAUGUGAAAGCCCCCGGCUCAACUGGGGAGGGUCAUUCGAUACUGUUCGACUCGAAGGCAGGAGAGGGGAGUGGAAUUCCCGGUGUAGUGGUGAAAUGCGUAGAUAUCGGGAGGAACACCAGUGGCGAAGGCGACUUCCUGGCCUGUUCUUGACGCUGAGGCGCGAAAGCGUGGGGAGCGAACGGG
rnacentral:rRNA from 1 species